CCGGUGUUGGUGGUGGGAGUGUCAGACGGUAUGGGCGUCGUGGGGGCGAGGGCGCGCAUGCGAUGCUGGGGGGCAGACGAGGCUGAGCGGCGCACAUGGGCAUAGGGCUGCUAGGGUUUAUGUCAGUUUUUGAUUUGGGCUAGGGUUUAUUUUUGUUGGCCCGUUGGGUUUGUUUAGUUAGGGUAGGUUAGUUGGGUUUUGGGGGUGGGUCAAAAUUGGCCUGUACA
rnacentral:lncRNA from 1 species